AAAACACCUCAGAUGCAGAAGUAGAACAUGUUCUUCCCAGUGCAGUAUUUGAGAUGAGAAAACUGAGAUAGAUGUAAAGUGACUUGCCCAAGGCCCAGGCAGGCAGAUGGAGAAUGAGCCAUCCUCUUGUGUCUGUGAUAAGGGCCUGGAUUGGAGAUUCUAAGAUACAUGCUGGUAUAAUUCCAAGGACUCUACAACAGCGGGGCCAGAAAUGCUGACAGCUAGACAACGUACAGUACCUUCGUC